GCGAAUCUCCAAACGAGCUUCCUUUGAACUGGUCAUCUCCAUGCUCCGGGUGAUGCUAACGAAGGUUCUGAGGGCAGAUGGGGAGGGUUCCAGGAACACAGGCGGCUUUUGUUACACGGCAGCCUGCAGAACAGAGGGAGCCAAGAUGUCCCCUCUGAGUGGCCGUAAAUAUUGACCCACCUGUGAAGGCAUCAUAGUCACAGUAGGGACAGGGAAGAAGUCCUCUGGCACAGCCGACACGGGUCCCGCAGCCUAGAAGAAGACAUUUCUCCUCUCUUCCUCUGACAAGGUCUGGAGGACAGAGUGACCGGACGGCCUCAGGCAGCUGUGAACAGGACUAAAAAGCAGCACUGGGAAGGGGACUGUGUACAGCAACUCUAUUUUAAAUAGAGUUAAACACAACUGAUUUCCCCUGAGAACAGGGAAGUGGCUCUUAGGAUAUGAAUAUGCACCUCCAGGUUCUGAAAACUUUUUUUUCAAAUAAAGUGUGUGCUUGUUGCUAACAGGCAGAUGGGCACCAGCUGAGGGAUUUGGGUGUCUCUCAGCUCCAACAUCCACCAGCAGGGUCACUCGGACCCAUUACUUAGCCUGACCUGCAGCUUACGCACCUCUCAGACACAGCUAACAGCAGCAAAUGCGGGUGUGAUGGGAUGAGAGCAUCCACGGUGCACAAGUUCACAGGUUGUUAAAAGGAGAAACUUGAAAACUUAUGGAAGGAGAAGAAUCACUUGAGGCGAAUCAAGUUGCUACUAGAAAAGGAGAAGUUUCAAGCUUAAAAAAGACUUUCAGCUCAAUCCAAGCGAAUAAAGGGAGAGAAUUUGUUAAAGCCAACAGAGUCGAGCUCUGGACAAGGAGGCAAAACACCUUGGUGCAAGGUCGUAACACACAGUGCCUUCCCCUGAAACGGGGCCCAGGCUCCCUUCACCAACCUUUUCCCUAAGCGAUACUGUGGCAACUUCGGCAGCACAUGUACUAAAAUCUGCAAUUUCAAGUUUGAAUAAAACAAAA